UCUUCUUUAUAAAGCGUGUUUGCCGACAUUAAAAUUGAACCUUGAGCAGACUAGUUGUCUUGGUUUCAUUAUUUCUCAACCCACCUAGGCUCCCUCUUUUCUUCCAGAUUCCAAGAUGCCUUCCAGGCUCGAACCCGGACAUGAGAGCCACAGGCCAGCCUCAACAAAUCAUCAGUCUUUAAUAUCUGUCAAUAUCAACAGACUCAAUUCCCCAAUAAGACAUAAGCUAACAGACUGGAUAUGCAAGCAGGAUCCAGCAUUUUGCUGCAUACAAGAAACACAUCUCAAUAACAAAGACAGACACAACCUCAGAGUUGAAAGCUUGAAAAAAGUCUUCCAAGCAAAUGGUCCCAAGAAACAAGCUGAAGUUGCCAUCCUAAUAUCUAAUAAAAUAGACUUUCAACCAAAAGUUAUUAAGCAUGAUGAGGAAAAACACCUCAUAUUCACCAAAGGGAAAAUUUACCAAGAGAAAGUCUUAAUUCUGAAUAUCUAUGCCCAAAAUGCAAGGUCACCCACAUUCAUAAAAGAAACUAAAGCUCAAAACACACAUUGAACCCCACACAAUAAUAAUGGGAGGCUUUAACACCCCACUCUCACCUAUGGACAGGUCAUUGAAACAAAAAAUAAACAGAGACACUAAACAGAAACUAAUAGAAGCUAUAAACCAAAUGGAUUUAACAGAUAUAGAGAGAGAACAUUUCACCCUAAAACAAAAGAAUAUACCUUCUCAAACUUCAUGGUACCUUUUACAAAAUUGACCAUAUAAUUAAUCACAAAACAGGCCUCAACAGAUACAAGAAGAUUGAAAUAAUCCCAUGCAUCCUAUCAAAUUACCACAGACUAAGGCUAGAUUUCAACAACAAAAACAACAGAAACCCCAGAUACCCAUGAAAACUGAACAGCUCUCUACUCAAUGAUAAUUUAGUCAGGGAAAAAAAUAAAGAAAAAAGACUUUUUAGAUUUCAACAAAAAUGAAGGCACAACAUAUCCAAAUUUAUGAGACAAAAUGAAAACAGGACUAAGAGGAAAAUCCAUAGUACUUCAUGCCUUCAUAAGGAAAUUGGAGAGAUCUUACACUAACAACUUAACAGCAUACCUAAAAGCCCU
rnacentral:lncRNA from 1 species